GGAAUUGCUGAAGUUGUGAAGGUUGAUGCUGUGAAUGCGCUCGGUCAUCCCCUUGCAACUGAUGUCACCUGCACGGUGGGUGGCAAGACAGACACAAGACAGGGCGUGUGGGUCAGGGCUAACUGACUUCAUUCCUAACACCCAUGUCUUAGGUGGGUAAUGCCCAUGGCUCCUGGAAACAGCCCCAACCCCCCACCUUGCAGACACAAGCAGGCUCUGUGGCGAGUUGGACAUGCUUUGCACAGCAGGCUGAGGUAUGAUGGCCUACGGGAACAAUGCCUUUCUUCCAUUUGGCCCCAACAAUGCCCCAGCUAUUUUGGGUACUGAAUCCCUGUCAAUGCCCUAGAGCUUCAGCCAGGGUUGUCGAAGUAGAGCAGCCAAAUAAACAGAUGGGUCAUUUGCCUGCUCUUACUACAACUUCAGCAAAUAAGACCUGAAAAACAAAUGGAAGAUUGGUUCUCAUGGAACUGUCUACUUCCACUUUAGACAGGUCUAAGACGAGGUCCUUCGGGAAAGCUUACAUUUUUCCCAGUUUUUCAAGGUUCUUGAUUUUAUUCAUAGACAGCAAUCAUAUUCAUUGUUAAAAAAUAAACUCCCUUCCUACUCAUUUAUAUGUAUAUUUCCAAACCCACACCAUGUAUGCAAAAACUCUUGGAAAAUUCAGUCCAGACUAAGACAUCCACCAAACAGCUGCUGCCAUGUUUUCCAGUUGAGGGACAGGUGAUGGAAUGCAAUCUGCUGGUUGAAGGGGCGCUCACCCACUGUUUUCCGUAUGUACACAUUCUUCUUGUCAUCUCUGACAAUCUGAGAACUUUCUAACUUGGUUGUAUGUGAUAUGGAUGGUUUCCUGAGUUUCCUGAAACUUAAUGUAGAAGGAGUGUUAAAAAGGUCAGAGAUGGCAGCACUGACCUGGCAGACUGUAGUGUACUAGGUGCUCAUAUUUAGUGUUCAAACUGGGCACUUCUGAGAGUGCAAGGGAGCACUGUUAAUAAUUAGGUGAGGACAGCAGGAGUAAAGCAAGAAUGGGAUGUGUGAUCACCCAAGCCAAUAGAGUGCUGUAUGCACUUGCCACAGCUCCCCGUGGGAAGGCAAUAGUGUACUAUGGGGAGGCUGUGGAUAGCCUGACCCAUUGCUUAUUCCCCACGUUCUGCAGACAAGGGAUAAUGUCGGUAACAUCUGGAUCACAGAUUGAGAAAUAAAAUGGAUGGCUGUAACACUAAGUCUUAGGGCUUUCCUAUUUUUCUACCUCACUUCUCAAAUGGCUCCAAAGAAUCCUUUUCUCUGAACCAUCCUUCAUUUCUAUUCCCUAUUCCUGCCUUCAUAACUGAACAAUCAGCUUGAGAGGCCAAGUGAGGAGGCUUUUACCACCCAGGUGGCUCAAGCACAGAUUGUUGGCCUGUGACCCGGAUCUCUGUGUCUUGUGAGAAGUAACCCCCAGAGGUAAUGACCUGCAGAUGGGAGGAAUGCCCACCUCCUUUGGUUCUUUCUCGUCCACCUUAGGAGAGAGGACCGGUUCAGGAAAGUCUGAGCUCAACUAGCUCUACCUUGCUUCACUCGAUCUCCUCCUCAUGCUAUUUGAGCUCAGUUGGUGUGACCACAUCCUUUUACAUACUCAUUUAUUUCCUUUGUUUCCAUCUUUAUAUUUUGUCAGCCUCACAUAUAUCCAGUUAACUUAAUAAAUGCCUAGAGGCUCUAUGUUCACUUUCAGUGAUAUGAUUUGCAUUGGUUUUUACGUAAGAGAAUUCCUUCUUGUUCUGGCUUCCAUUUGGUCUAUUAUGUGCCUAAAAUACUGUAUUGGGCUACAGUUUCUAUUUUUUUCACUGUUGUAAAACAAAUGGUCUUUGCCAGAUUCAAGAAUCAUGGUGAACCCUCUAUAACCGUGCUAAUACAAAAUAGAGCCCCAGGGGAAGGCCCCAAUAACCCAGGAAGAAAUGUUCAGGAAAUCAGUCAGCAGACCAAAUUCUAAGACCUUGCUGAGUCCUCCAUGCACAUAGAGCAUGAUAAUGACAAGAGCAUUUAUUUUUUAAAAGCUUACCACUUAUUACCAUAUCAUUUCACUGAAUCGUCACAGCAACCCCUAUCACAUAGGUAGUAUUAUUAUCCUCAUUUUUCAAAUGGGAAAACUGAGGCCAGAGAAAUCAAGAAAAUCACUCAAGGCCACUUAGGCAGUUGGUGAAAGAGUGGCAUUUGAACCCAGGUGGUCUGGCCCUAGAAUUCACAUUCUUACCUGCUUCAUUGCAUUUGCAUGCUUUGCCCCAAAUGAAGUCUGGCCCUUAGGUGUCCAUGGGUCCACUGUAAAGCUGCAUGAAAAGGUUUGUCCAAUAUGUCCUUCAGUUACUUCUAUAUCUACCCAUAAAUUAGCAUGGUGUUCAUGUUUCUAGGCCUUGGGACUUCAACAUGGUUUCAGUAAUCUAACUUAAAGACAUCUUUAAGUUGCACUAAAAUGUAGUAAGACUACACUAAAAUGUAGUAAGGCUUUUCUUUGUUUUAAUAUAUUUUUUAAACGUUUAUUUUUGAGAGGGGGGGCAGGGAGAGGGGACAGAGGAUCUCAAGCGGGCUCCAUGCUGACAGCAGCGAGAUCCACAAGAUCCUGGCCUGAUCCGAAGUCGGAUGCUCAACUGACUGAGCCACCCAGGUGUCCCAAAAUGUAGAGUUUUCUACAUAUAAGUUUACUAUCACUAAGGUCUUUUUUAUUUAAGUUAACAGUGAGCACUAAAACUGGCCGAGUCUCUGAUAAAAUCACCAUCUCUAAGUAGGAUGGAUUUAUUAGAUAACUUUUUUCCACACAGGUGAAAAUACUCUUUUUUUUUUUUUUACCGUUUAUUUAUUUUUGAGACAGGGAGAGACAGAGCAUGAACGGGGGAGGGUCAGAGAGAGAGGGAGACACAGAAUCUGAAACAGGCUCCAGGCUCUGAGCUGUCAGCACAGAGCCCAACGCAGGACUCAAACUCACGGACCGCGAGAUCAUGACCUGAGCCAAAGUCAGACGCUUAACCAACUGAGCCACCCAGGCGCCCCAGGUGAAAAUACUCUUUAAACACACAUUUGCUCAUAGCACCAGUCACAGACAUAUCACUAGAUUUGCCAUUUAUGAUGAAGAGGUGUCUUCCUUCUGAUUAAUUCUGGAAAGAAACUCUACCACAAGUAUCAUAAUAAUUAAAAUCAUGUAGCAUUUCACAAUGGACAAAACUCUUUCACAUAUAAUAUCUUAGUAUUUUCUUAAAACCAUCCUAUAUGUUUUCAGGACAAGUCCUAUUACUACUAUUUGAUGUACAAAUAAGUUGAGGCUAUCAAAGUGUUUAAAUGACUUAGCCUAGGUUUUACACAGCUAGUAAGAGGCAGGGUUAGGAUUAGAACCCACACCCUUGAUGUUCUUCCCACUGCAUACCACUGGAUCUCUGAAGAAUGAAAACUGGAUCGCCUAAAGAUCUAAGGCCACCCUAAUUCUCAGGACAUAGAAGAAAAGAUAAAAACACUGAGAGUGAUGAUGAAGGUUGCUUUACAGAGAGAAAUGGUCAACACCAAAAGCUGUCAUCACACUGCACACAUUCACACACACAAUCUCGUGAGAAAAAAUUCAAACUGCUUGCUUGAGUGAACUGGUCGAGUCUAUCCAAACAAUCAGGUAACCCUAUGGAGAUAAUCACAAAAAACCCAUUACAUGGUCUGAAUUAUGGUUUCUGCAGUAAUGUCAACCAACUUCGUUAAAGACCACAGAGACAAACUCCAACCUGCACACAUGUACAACCUGACCUGACGAGCCUAGUUGGAUUUUUAUAGACACAAUUUUUAAACAUCUCCCUGAGUGCACUGGUCCCACACUGCAGUAAGCAGCCAUGAAAGGCUGAAUGGGCUUUGCUGAUACGGGUACAGAUGCUAUGGGGGACCCUGCCUCUCCAUUCAAGCGCGCCUGGUUCCUCCCGCACACAAUGCUGAAGCAAUUCUUUCCCAGGCUUUCUUUUAUAUUUAACACUAAUACAGUGGGAAAAAGUUUCUGCCACAGCAAGGCAAUGUCCAGGCUUUUGUGAAGCAGGCCUUUUCAUCCAAUGGGCAUUAAUGUAUAGAUUCCAACGGAAUAAAUCUGAAAUAGUCUACUGUAGAAGAUUUGUUCCCCAUUGAAAACAAAUCUUGAUUAGAUGGUUAUUCAGGGACUGUAUAGGAAGGAAUGGUGUGAAAAUGCUAACUCCAUUCUUUCCUAGAUUGGCACUGAAUAGGCAUUUGGGCUAUUCAAAAACAAAACAAAACAAAACAAAACAAAAAACCACCAACCACCCUCUUAACUCUACAAAACCAUACAACUUUCCAAAGAUUAUGUAUAUUUGGGGACGCCACCUCACCCCAAAAAUACCCCACGAUGGUGUGAACAUAGAACUGCGGGGGUAAAAUGAAGAGUUGAUAAAAAUGGUUCUCUGCGUGUUUAAAAAUAAUAACCGACCUCCUUUCCACUAGAGUAAAAAUAUAGAGUCAGCCUGAGAUGGCAUUCACUAGAAACACACAAGGCAUCCUACCACAGAAAGUGGUCAUGUAUUCUGAAUGACUGUGUUCUGUGAGCGAGCACAAUACGGAUGGGGCUGAAGCGGGGCGAGCACCGAAGGGAAAAUCGGCUUGUGGUGAAAGAGGUGAUGGAGGGCCUGGCUCUGCCUUGUAGGAACCCGGCUCCUGACUGUCUCUUAAACUGCGGGUGUUCGGGGACAGGACUUAGCAUGAGAAUAAAAAGCUGCUUGUGCACAAGGGAAAAUGAACAAGAAAGGAAACAGCAGGCAAUACAAUCUCCUUUAAUUAGGUGUGAAAUCUAGUCCUUUCUCAGCCCCGGAUAUAUAAAAUCAGACCAGUGCAAGGGUGAGGUGCUAUAGAGGGAGAUGGGAAUUUGAAGUCUCUGUGAUUUGGGAGGAAACACCAGCUCUCAAAUUAAAACCAACAUGAAUUUCGGUCAAGUCAACACGUCUAAGUCAAAUGGCAGGGCCGAAAAGCCCUUGAGCUUUCAAUCUGGGCCAGCAGGCUCACAUGAGGUAAGUGGGUCAGCUCACAAAAUAGGGCUAGGGUGGCCAGGCCUCCACAGCCCAGGCUUUUAUAUCACACUCUUUGCCACCUUGCACCUUGAUACUUUUACUGUGUUGAAGUUUCUCUUUCGUGUAUCAGGUGAUUAGUGGUGAUCGUAAGCUACCGUGUGUUGGUGCUACUUACCAAGUUGGUCAUACUAGGAAAGACCGACUCUUCUCCUGAGAAAACAGGGAUGCAUGUGGUCACUCAGGUCCCUUCCUCCCCAAAUCUACAUCUGUUGCCCCUGCCAGGGCCAAGACCUUGGAUAUUUGAGUUCACGUAUGUGCCGGGGUGGGGAGGAGCUGCUGAGCCUGAGGAGGGCAGAGGUUGCUUCCUCACGGGCUUCACCAUCCAAAGCAGAUGGCCCAACACAUUCUUUCUAUCUCAGGGGCAUCUUCACAAUCUUUGUGAGACAGGGAAACUGAAGGACUCCGUAAAAACCUGCUUUUUGUUCCCUUUCCCACUUCUAUUCUGCUGGGACCUGCAUCCCUGCCCUACACAUGCCUUAAUGUAUGUCCUCCUUUGUAAGGGACAAGGAGUUCAUGAUCUCUUUGGAGUCUUCCAGCACAGCAGAUAACAUCUAAGGACUGACCAGGCUAGGUCAUCAUGUGUAUAUUCCAGACCACUGGCGCUAGACAUCUCGACGCCAACACCCCCUGGCUCCAGGGAGUAAGUGACUUAUGAUGGACACCUGGACUCUGUCCUUGUUCUGACCAGUUCCUGGAUGACUGAGAGGACAUGUGCACCAGACCACAAUCAUCAAUAAAAAAUCCCCAGGCCCCAAGUGAAGAUGAGACUCCCUCCUUUCCUUUCCGAGUCUCCCACACACUCUGUCUGUACCCGCACUCUCUUUCUACCUUCAAUGAACUCUGCUUUCACCUCCUCCUGGCUCGCGUUUGAUUUCUAUCCUGCACGCAGCCAGGAACCCUCUUGGCUGGUCCUGUGGGAUGGCCUCUGGGUCGUGGGACCCAGCCUGUCAACAUCAUUUGGAGGGUGGCUGGGAGCACUGGAGAAAUCACUUACCGCUGGCUCCAUACACCUAGCAUAUCCUAGCUGUCAUUGCCUCUGGAUGUGGACCCUGGGAGGGUCAUUAGCAUAUGGGAAAGAGAGCUGCACUGCCUUAUGCACCCACUCCUGGGUGUAAAGGGAGUGCUUUGGUUUGUCUCCCAGUGAGAGUUGUCCUCUACCUUCCUGAUUGUCUAAGCCCAAGGUACAGGAACCAUUAGAGGAUAUUCUCUUUUUCUCUCUCUUUUUUUUUUUUUUUCUUUUUUACCGUUGGUAACAAAUUGUUCUCUUAAAGCAUUAAAAAUUUGUUCAACUUUCAGAAAUUAGAUUUUCAAACUAUUUUCAGGAAUAUACCACCUAUGAAUGUUGGGAACAGUCUGUAUUUACUUUUUAGUCACCACUUAUUAUUUUAGCUGGACAGAGAUAAUCAACUUACUAACUUGCCUGAAGUGUUUACAACACCAUUCUACUUAUGAUCUCAGUACCAUAGUUGGAUAUGUCUUUCAUAUUCCUUGAACUCUUAUUCAUACAUGUAAGGAACUUUCAUUCCUUCCAAAGCACAGUUUAAGUACUGAAAGGUCUUUAGGAAGUGUAUGUGUGGGCUUUAGGGGUAUCCACAUAUUAUCAUGAAUGGGCAUGUUUCUACUUUCUUAGGGAUAAGGUCAAUGUCUUUCAUUAGAAUCUCAAAGAGGUCUGUAUUCCCCCCAAAUUAAGACCCAUGAAUCGAGAAUCAAGUAUCUCUCCUCAGGCUGCUCUUAACUACUUUCAGUAAUCAGAGCCUCUGAAACUGAUGUCGCCUUCAUGACUGCAUCUGAGGUAACAGGCCCGGCAGGCUGAUAUUUCCCAUUUACUUGAGUGGAUGCUAUUUUAUGUGAUCAACGCCACAGUCUUAGCCAAAGUGACAGCACUUACCUUUCCAAAGAGAAUGAUUCAAAAAUAAAAAUAGGAUUGAAAAGGAAGAGAAAAAAAAGAGAGAACAGAAAUAUAGAUGAUAAAGUACUAACACUAGCUGAGAUCUGGAGGAAUAGAACAGAACUAUAUAGUCUGACAAUUGGUGAAGCCAACUAUAGGUUUUUAUCAGAGCGGAUCCCCUUUGAAAGUUAACACAAAUCCAUAUAAGAACUAGGAAAUAUCCUUUAAUGUUUUUUGGACUGUUAAAAAUGAGAUAUUGUGGUAUAAAUUGAACAAAGAAUAAAUACAAACUUAACAUGCACUUCUUUUUUUAAAAAUCUGAAUGUGUACUUCCAAUCUAGCCAACAAGGUAGAGUUCACCUGAAAGCCCUGUAGUACUUCAAACAGACAGCUUUUCUUUCUUUUUCUCCCUCCCUCCCUUCCUUCCUUCCUUCCUUCCUUCCUCCCUUCCUUCCUUCCUCCAUCCCUCCCUCCCUCUCUCUGGUCUCUCUCUUCCUCCCUCCCUUUUUUCCUUCUGCUACACCCUUAAGUUUUCCUAAGCUUCAAGUAUGGGGAACAAGGGGGGAAAACUGAAUUAGUAACUCAUAUACUCUGUGAUCUUCAGGCCCAUUCCCAAAUCUGGACUGAGUCUCCAUUCUUGCCGUCCUUCCCCUCUCUUCACUCUACCAAAAAGCAAGAGCUUCACGCUUCGUCUGAAGGAUAGGAAGAGACUGAUACUGCCGGUGGGAUUUCCAGGGCCAAAGGAAAAGUCCCACAGAAGCCUUUUGAGUUGGCUCUGGAGGCUCUCACAGUCUCUCUCAGACAGCCCAGACCUUUGGCUUGCCUGAUUCCACAUUCACUCUGCUGUUACCUCCAAGAAGGGACUGAGAAAUGCCUGAUUAUGCAUCCAACAUUGCAAAUACAACUGACUGAUGGAUGGAGGUGUUUUGGGGGUCACCUGAAUAUUCACCAAUUCAUGAGUGAAACAUUUACUGAGAAAACCCUCUUGGAAAUGGAUCCAUAAGGACACAGGUGAUCUAAAAUCUAAAACAGUGAAAAGAAAUUCAUCCAUAAGGACCUUUGAUAUUUGAAACGUAUACUCAUCAAUCAACUUCUCCCUGACCUCAGUGCCCAGGAAAAGCUGGUUCUAUGUUUAUCUUUGUGGACCCUGUGAAAAUCAUACCUGGAGCUCAGAAUCAAAAUUUAGGUCAAAUUUUCAGAACUACAUGGGACCUCAUGGUAUGCUUUUCUAAGUCAAAUUUACCCCCUGGCCUCAUUCUAGUGUCAAUUCCUUAUUUUACUUCAACUCUGAUUUCUUUUUUAUAGUUACAUGUAAGUAUAUUUUCCUACAUAUUUACUAAUGUAUUGAGUAUUCUUUUAAGCCAACUCAAAUCCCUUUAGUUAUGAGGUGGGGAUAUAAUCAAACAAUCAAGAAGUAAUUGAACAUCAAUUUUAUGCAACCAAUUCUAAAUAUAAGUUAAAACUUCAGCUUGGGGUAUUAUCAAGCUACAUGCUUUGUGAAUUUCUAUACUUUGAGCAUCUGAUUCCAGUGGAACAAAACACUGAAUGUUCAAACACCUUCUUUAUUCUCUUAUAGUACAGCUUGUGAAAGCUAAGUUUUAACUCUGGGAACAAAGGCAUCGGACAGCUAUAAUUCUAGACAACAUUCUGAAAGACACCUAUGCCCUCAUUCCAACGCUGAAAUGAAAUGACUUCUUCUUGAGAAGGCAGGACCUGCUGGGACUAAGGAAGAAAGUCAUUGAAAUCUGAGGUUGAUGCCUUUAAAUCCUCUUAUAUCAUAAACCUUUUGAGACACCUUUUAGGAGUUUGAUUUUUUUUAUAAAGCUCUUUCCUUACAAAUUUAGCUGCUGCCCUAUUGUAACCUUUUCUUUUGUUCACUAAAUCUGGGGAACAAAAACACAGAGAUGCUGCAUCCGUGGGUGGGAUACAAAAAUGAACAAAGGGAUCUACUUACAUUCACAGUUAAAGUAUGCAGUUUGAACUUGGCUUUGGAUAGGCCUUAAAGAAGGAUCUUUAUAUUCAAAUGUACAGUUAAUAAGUUCAGUCCUUUUCUUCUGCUUGAAAAGAAAUUAAAAAUUUUAAAGUGUUUAUAUAGAAACCAGCAUCUUCUUACUUACUAAUCUGUUCUUCUUUUGAUCUGUAUAUCAUCCUGUACUUAUUUUAAAGGAAAAACACAUUUUUAAUUUGACUGAGUUCAAAGAUCCAGAAUAACUCCUAGGAAUGGCAUUCCUUUGGAAAAUAUCAACUGGUGUUAAAGUAUAGUUAAGUAAGAAAUUAAUUUUUUGACUUUGGGACAACUUUUAUCUGAAUUUCAAUGAGUGAGAAAACAGAACCCCAUAGUGUCAUUUUUAAAAAGCUGUUUUUUACUCAAAUAAUCAGAACUUCCCAAUCCACAGAACUUCCUUUGGUCCUCUGUUGCUGCACUGUUUUGAAACUGCUUUUGAAGCAGAUCUUCAGAUUUGCUCAGUGCUCAAAUGUUCUCUUUGCUUACGUCUUCCGGGAAAAAAUAAGUCACUUCCAAUGUGACAACUGGUUUUCAAGCACAGUUCUGUGUAUUGGUAGAAGGGGGCUACAGUGUUUCUCUAUAGAGGGCAUGGGCUUGAGCCAUGAUAGAUUGUUUUACUGAAAAAAUGAAGGCCUUCUAUCUCAAAGCAACAAGGAAAAGCCAAGGAAAAAGGUUAUUAUUAUUAUUUUUUUCUGGAUUACUAGAAAAGUUAGAAGCACAGAGGGGAUUUGAUGUUUAGGACAAGUAGUUGAAACUACCUCUCGACAGCCCAGCUAGGGCGAUCCAUCAUGAAACCAGGCACAGAGUUUCCUUAAGAAAGAAUAAGAUGUAAGUCUUCUAGGAUGAAGAAGAUCCUAGGUAAGUGUUGUUGGAACUCAAAACCUUGGGAGACAUGGAUAAAUAAAGGGAGUAGAAGGCAUACUUCAUAUUAUUCUAAUGAGGAGUAAGAUACUUCAUUUUUAUUUUAUUUUUGUUAUACUUUAUGUGUUCUUUUAUAUAAUAUUUUAGUACUAUUUACCUGUCAUAGGAGAAAAGAUAUUAAGCUGUAAGAGUCUUCUAUAGCUGUAGGUAACAUUCUAAGAAUCUCAUCUCACUUCACUGGUUUGAUCUUAUUUUCCCAUUUUCCCCAAAUAAAAUCUUUGAACUAAUCAAAGAAGUUGGACAUUUUGCCAUCUCUUGCAUGCACUGCAAGAGCUUAUUCUUAAUUCUCCUCUGCUGAAUUUGUCCUGAGUUCUGAAAUUCUGUGCUUUCCUCUACUUACCAGACCUUAUGACCAUUUGAGAACCCUAUAAAAAGUUCUUCCUUCUCUGUGGAGCCCUUCUCUGAUUGCUGGGUCCAUCUUAAUUUCUCUCUUUUCUUAGUUCCGACUGGUUGGUGAGGUAAUAGAUUGAAACAUUAAUUUCUGUUUUUUUUUUUUUUUUUCUUUUCCCCACUGAAUGAGAAAACUUUCAUAGCAAUAAGGCAAUUAAGAAAAGCUAAGCUUGUGCACAGUUCUGGGCUCUCUUAGGAAGUUGUGGCUUCACAGUCCAAAUCAGAAGUUAAGCCCUAAAGACAAAGCCCCAAGAUGGAGAGCUUUGUUUUGGGAAUCUAGGCCCUCUAAGGGAAUUAAGCUAGGCCCUUACUAGGGUGAGGAGGGUGAGGCUGGUGCUUUGGAGGUAGACUGAGGUGGCCUGUCAGGAGAGAACAAUAAUUACCCCUCAAAUGGGGGAAGGUGCUAUGAAGUUUGAAGUCUCUGCUUACAUACAACUCUAGUUGGGGUAAUUUCUUGGUACACUUCUGGAGGAUGGACAUAAAAAAAGGGUACUGCCUUGACAGGAGCAGUGAUGCACCUGGGGCAAGGAUGAGGGUGAGGGGCAUCUCUAAACCCAGCUACAGCAGUAGUGCCCAGCAGUCAGAUGGACCAGGGUCUUUGUCAUGUAGACAAGCAAUGUUGAUGAUGAAGACUGCUGUGGACUAAGGAUCUGACCUCUCCCUAGAUUUUGUAAGUCUCUGUACAAGUCUGGGGAAGGGAGAGGAACCUUGAAACCUCAUGGAAUUUCUUGCUAUUUUAGUGACAGGUUUAAUUUGCUUUAGAAAUAAGGAAAUGUGGGGCGCCUGGGUGGCUCAGUCGGUUAAGCGGCUGACUUCGGCUCAGGUCAUGAUCUGGCGGUUUGUGAGUUCGAGCCCCGCGUCGGGCUCUGUGCUGACAGCUCAGAGCCUGGAGCCUGCUUCAGAUUCUGUGUCUCCCUCUCUCUCUCUGACCCUCCCCCAUUCAUGCUCUGUCUCUCUCUGUCUCAAAAAUAAACGUUAAAAAAAAAUAAAAAAAAAAAAAGAAAUAAGGAAAUGUUUUUUCCACCUGAAUGUUGAGAAAUAAGUCUGAACUUCUUACACAUGUACUACCUAAUUUAGUAUAUUAUUGACCACUGUCUCUUUUCACUUGUGCUUGUCUGGGUCUAUGAGAAGACUCGAAGCAUCCCGAAGGCUAGUACCCUGCCUUGUUAUAACUACAGCUACAACUACAAAUUACUGAACCUUCACACUGCCCAUUUCUUUACAUUGAGUAGGUCCUAACUGAGCAUUUGUUAGGUCAAGUCUCUGUCGAACUUCCUGAACAUGCUGACAAUAUCAAUGGGAACUUCAGGCUACACCUUUUCUCUGAGGUACUGCAUGUUGUAGUCCCAGGGAGUCUUUCUGUCUCUGAAGUUUGAGUGAUGCUCUUCUCCCUCUCCUUUAUUACUCUACUGCCUCUCAUCAAGGAAGAGCCACAGUUCUAUUUUCAGUACACAUUUAAGGUCUAAGGCAAUUGGUUUUUUAUGAGUUCACUGAGUUUCUCACAAACUGUGCUCAAUCAUUUAUGAUUUCUGACACAGGCCUUACUGUCCCCAUCUCCCGGAUUCCAUUUCUCCCAAAAGACAGCUCAUUAGGUCCUCCUGUCGGCUGAGGAGUCAGUGGAGCUCAAAGCAGAGCCAUACCUUAAAACCCCAGGUAAGAAGAGACGAUCAGUCUCUCAUGUGAUCUAAAAAUGAUCAGGCUAAAGUCCCACCACCCUUGCCUGACUUAGGGAAGCUAAACUGCUUGCUCACAGAUGUUAGAGAGAUCUCUAUCAAUCAGUUGUGAUAACUGGAUAUGUAUAUUUGCAUAAACAGUGUCAGAGAUUGUUUAGAAUAUUUUCACUUGGUGGCCACUGGGUGUCCUCAUUUACAAAGUAAAUAAGUAAAUACGCGCUAUUUAGUGUAGGUCACCCGAGGGAAUAAAAGACACUAGAUUUCUCUUUGGCCUUUCACAUGCUGAGCAUAAUUUUUUUUAUUGAACUUACAACCAGGUCAGAUAUCAGUACUGUUAUAAAUGUUCGGGUAAAAUUGGUAAGGUUUAUAACCAAAGUAACUUUUGUAGGUUCCAGACAUGAAUUCAUAAGGCCAUUUCCUCAACAGAGGGGACCGUGAUCUAGCUAUUAGAAUGAGCUCUUAUUUGUUUGAAAAUUGGCAUGGGAUUUUGACUAUCUGCGCAGAGAGCCAGGAGAGAGAGGAGCAGAGAAAGUCUUCAUUUAUUCUUAAAAGAAAAGAGAACACCAAAUAUCUCCAUGGGAUAUUUGUUAGAUUCUGUUUUUAUUUCAGUUUUUCUGGAAACCAAUUAAAAAUAAUAAUGAGAAAGAUAAAAUAUGUCCUUUUCCUGGGAAACCUAAAAUAAUGUGGAAAAACAGUACAUUGAAGUGGGGCAUAUGAUUAUGAAUCAUUUCAUAUUGAAAGACAAAGGAUUAAUUUUAUUUAUUUAUUAAUUUAUUUAGGUGGACCAGUUAUCCCAUCUGUAAAAUGAAGAUUCUUAUGCUUCACAGGGAUGUGGUAGGAGAAUAAAAUAGAAUAAGGAGGCAUGUAGGGAUCCUAGGAAAAGAAACUUGUAUACCAGACAGAUUUUAGGGCAGUACUAACAUUCUGACUGUAGCUGAGUCACAGUUGUGGAUCUUGUUCCUAACAGCAGACGGGAGUCAAGGCCAGAGUUCAUGCAGCCAACAGAUAUUUCCUGAUUCAACCACUCUAACGCACCAAGUGUGAGGCACUGCAGGGCCGUCACUUUGUGCUCCGUAAAGUGAUUUGUGCAUGCCUAGGAUUGUCAAUGCUUCUAAACUUGUAUUACAUACAUCCCUGAUGAGAUUCUUUCCUUGCAAGGCCAAAAUGAUUUCCAUCUCCCUACUCUGUAAAUUUCUCACACCUGAGAUACAGAGCCACUGUUAAACUUCAUAUAACAAUACUUGCCUUCCAAUGUUGUACUUAACCGACUAGCUAACCUUUUUCAAAAGCAAAGUUAACUUUUCUGUAAUAAUUUUUUCCUCCAGUGCAUAUCCUCAGCUUAAUUAUUAGUCUCUGGCAUGUCAUUUCAGUAUAUAAAUUAUCAACAUGAUUCUGCGCCAUAACUAACAGUUUACAACAGAUAAUACCAGGGAAACGAGGAAGCCCUGUGAGCUAUUCACUGCCUUUCAGAGAUGGUCUCAGGUCUUACUGGCAUUGCUUAACAGCUUUUUUCUGUUUUUAAAAGACCACCCGCCCCUGCCUCUAGUAGAGCUGUCGGUAACUCUCAAUCAACCGUUUAAACGCACAAUGAUGCACAAUAGCCAGGUCACUUGCACCCUUGGAUUCUACCAAAGGAUCACAAUGUACUCAGAGUGUAUGGAGAACUAUCUCCUUUCUUCUAAAGAUCCUUAAAUCCCUGGGAUUUAUAGCAUCCUCCAACUCUUUAAUUAGUAGACUCAUUUUUGAACUACCGUAACCCCAAAGACACAUAUCUGCAGAGCCCUUGUGACUGUGUUUUUCCCUAAGCCUUUACUCCUUUCAGUUUCCCCAGUUUGCUCCUUUAAUUUCACUUUCAGAACUUCUUGAGGCUCAGUGGCUGAACACCACACAGCGCAGGUCUUAUCUGAUGUACCGGCGCCUGGUGUGGUCUAAGACACACUGGUGUUUUGUUCUUGAAGUACAGGGAAGUUCUGAAACCUAGACUCCAACACAAAGGAGAUCAUUAGCUCGUUUUAAGUGUCUCUUUUCUUCCCUCAUGGCCCCCUCCUACCCACCCCAGUGCUUCCUUAGUCCUAUGCACUGGCCACAGAUGGCAACCAUAUUCCAAUUCCAAAGCUGAGUAUAUACAAAAUCCUUCCAUGGAGAACAGAGUGGCUUCAAAGUUAGCUUUCUAUUCAAGUGGGAUGGUGGAGACUCUGGAGGAGUGAACUCAUCUCUCAUUCAUUUAACCCUCUAUUCAUUCAGCCAGAAGCCUGUUUUCCUACACAUUCUUCUAGUGUCCAGCCAGUUGAGGGAGGCCGGGUGUGAAGAACUCUCUUGAGGGCCCUUCCAGCAGGAGGGCACUGGGAUUCUAAGCCACGCUCUUGUUUCCCUGGGCCAGCUCUGUCUGCUGCUGAUCAAAUCAUGCCAGUCCCGUGAGAGGUGCUUGGGAGCACUGUGUAGGGGGUGGAUUUCUCAAGAGCUGUCUCCUUGCUAGACUGACAGCACAUACUGUAUUCCCUAGACAAGGAUUAGACCAGGGAAAAGGGUGAAACAAGGAGGAGGGUGUGGGGUUUCAGAAAACUCCGCAGGAUGGCACAGUAAUGGGAGGUGGGAGUGGGAAAACCUUUCUUUUUUCUUGUUUCAAGGUUUGCUGGAGCUUUGGCCUAAUCAUCUGUUUGAGCAUCUUGAAAAUAAGUAUCUAUUUUCAUGAUAUCUAUGAAAAAAAGGCACCAGAUUAUACUACAAAGUUGACCUUAACCCUGCCAUAUUGUUACUAGAAUCAAAACAUGUAGCAGCCUACAUCCAACAGAAAAGGAUUUUGUUUUCCCAGCAUAAAAACCAGAGGGUAUCUGCAAUGCACUUUGUUUCAUAGGUCUGCUGAAGGAAAAAAAUCUGAUAAAAAAUCAGUACCUAUACUUUCACAAAUGGGCAAAAUGCUCACAAACACCAUACACCCUUGCUUUUGCUCCAUUCUCCCACACCACAUUCAUUCAUUCAUUUAUUCAUUCAACAACUAUUCGCUGAGCACUUACUAUGGUCAAACACUCUGCUGGGUGCUCAGGAUCCAGCAGAGAACAAGACAGGAUUUCUUUCCUCAUGAGUUCUUCCAACUGGCCCAAAGAAGCACUUAAUUUAACUGCUAGCAUGUUAUUUGAGGAACAGGGAUGAUUCGUCUUACCUAAUAUUUCUUCUGAGUCUUUCUGAAACAUAUUUCUUGAACGUCCAGACUCCUUCAACUAAGACGUUCUGUCUUGAAUCUCUCCCGUUCUAUUGUUAUAUCCAUUCCUUUCUUGGCUACAAUGUUGAGAGUUCAGAUUGCAACUGCUACCUUUUUUUUUUUUUUUCUUUUUCUUUUGGUGGGGCUACAACCCUGAGGGAUCGUUACUUUCCAAGCUGCACAUAUAUUUUGUCUGUAGAUACUGUACCAUCUAAAUGGUGUCUUUGGAUUCUGCUGAAUAGCCGUCAACAUGAUUUAAGGAAGACUUCAUAUGAGAAUCAGAAAUCACAAAAUUUCAUUAUUUUAAAGCUCUGACUUGAGAUUUAUGUGGACUUCACACAAUCUAGGUUAGCAUUUCAACUGCAUCUCUUACUAAGAGACCUGUGAGCUCAAGUUCCAUACCCAUGUGUCUCUGGAAUUCUAUUCUCAGCGGCAAAAGUGCUCUGGAGGGAGGAGAAGCAAAUGUCCACAAUUAUCUCCACGCAUUACCCAAAACCCACGGGACAGGAAACGCGUACUCGGUACAAUGAGCCAACAAGUCUUCCUGAAUUUCUUAAGAUUAUAUAUAUUCUUUCAGCUCCUGCAAACUGCUUCAGAAUGGAAGAAGAUAAGUGAGCUGGGAGAUUCAGGGCAAUCCUACUCUGCAGCAAAACAGAGUAACUGAGUUGGCCAACUAAGUUGGCCUCUAUUUUCAAUUCUUUCAUAAUACUCUGAAGCCAUCGGGUGGACGGUCUUUCAAAAAGAUGAAAGGUGCAUUUCUUUAGUUGUAAGGAUGUCUCUUU
rnacentral:lncRNA from 1 species